CAGAGGUUAAUGUGUCGUAAA
rnacentral:miRNA from 1 species